rnacentral:tRNA from 1 species
AUACAUUUAGUAUAUAUAAUAUAUUAAAUUUAGGUUUUAAAGAUUGAUAAUGUAUU